AUUUGGCUCUUGACACUGAGGAACUAAACAUCCUCCAAGAAUGAUGGGGAGGGCUUCCAGGAGGUUGUGCGACUACAAGAGCGACAACUGGACAACAGCGAUCUCCAAAGGAUAUUGGAUUUAACAGUUGGCAAAGCAAAAGAUUUUGAACGUGUACGAAUAAGACUGCUAGUGUUCAGAACAUCCCAAAGCAUAUUACCGUCAUCCCGAAACUAGACAUCCCUAAAUACUGACGUCAUGAGGAAUUUUGAUGAAACAAUGACCAGAAUGAUUUAGACAGAACGCCUUUUAAGUUAGUCCAGCGCAUUCAUGAAGAGCACCCACUCGUCCCCGACAAUAUGCUGGAUGGGGUGGACAUUCGUCGAAAGAGGAGAUUGAGAUGUUACAGCAGUGGAGAAGAAAGACUAGGAAAUACUGCAGCAAAGGAGAAAAAACUAGUGAUUGAGGAGGAGAUACAGCAGCGAAGACAGAAAACUCUAUAGAUUGAGGAGGAGAUACAGUAGCGAAGGAGAAAGUUGAUUGAUUGAGGAGUAGGUACAUGAGUGGAGAAGAAAUUAUAUAUUAAUUGACGUACAGCAGUGAAGAAGAUUGAAGACUAUAUUGAGGAGAUACAGCAGUUAAGAAGAAAGAAGACUAUAUUAAUUGAAGAGUAACAGUAGCUAAGAAGAAAAACGAGAUUGAUUGAGGAGUAGGUACAGGAGUGGAGAAGAUAGACUAUAUUUCAAUUUAAGGAAAGCAGGGAAGAAGAAAGACUAUAUUAAUUGAGAAUACAGCAGGGAAGAAGACGAUGAGAUCAAGCAAAUAAGAAUAGUUACACGAUAGUUACCCAGAGGAGAAACCAAUCGUUAAACAUUAAGUGUGUAUAUUUUAUUUUAAUGUAUUAUGCCACCUUUUUUUAUUAGCCCUAAAAUAGCAAUUCUUGCAACUAAAUCUCAUCUUUUUCGCUGCUGUAUCAUCAUCUCUUCGCUGCUGUAUUCCCCCCUCAAUCUGUGUUUCUCCUUCGCUACUAUACUCAUCCUUUUCUUGUUCUGAAAACUGCAAGACCUUCCAUUAAUACAAAUGCUAUAUGCCGA